rnacentral:rRNA from 1 species
GACGUAGGGCGCGGGCGUUGUCCGGAUUUAUUGGGCGUAAAGAGCUCGUAGGCGGCUUGUCGCGUCGAAUGUGAAAUCUCAGGGCUCAACUCUGACAUUGCAUUCGAUACGGGCAGGCUAGAGUUCGGUAGGGGAGACUGGAAUUCCUGGUGUAGCGGUGGAAUGCGCAGAUAUCAGGAGGAACACCGGUGGCGAAGGCGGGUCUCUGGGCAGUAACUGACGCUGAGGAGCGAAAGCGUGGGGAGCGAACAGG